UGGGGAAUAUUGCACAAUGGGCGCAAGCCUGAUGCAGCCAUGCCGCGUGUGUGAAGAAGGCCUUCGGGUUGUAAAGCACUUUCAGCGAGGAGGAAGGGUAGUGUGUUAAUAGCACAUUGCAUUGACGUUACUCGCAGAAGAAGCACCGGCUAACUCCGUGCCAGCAGCCGCGGUAAUACGGAGGGUGCAAGCGUUAAUCGGAAUUACUGGGCGUAAAGCGCACGCAGGCGGUUUGUUAAGUCAGAUGUGAAAUCCCCGCGCUUAACGUGGGAACUGCAUUUGAAACUGGCAAGCUAGAGUCUUGUAGAGGGGGGUAGAAUUCCAGGUGUAGCGGUGAAAUGCGUAGAGACCUGGAGGAAUACCGGUGGCGAAGGCGGCCCCCUGGACAAAGACUGACGCUCAGGUGCGAAAGCGUGGGGAGCAAACA
rnacentral:rRNA from 1 species